rnacentral:rRNA from 1 species
UACGAAGGGGGCUAGCGUUGCUCGGAAUCACUGGGCGUAAAGCGCACGUAGGCGGAUCUUUAAGUCAGGGGUGAAAUCCCAAGGCUCAACCUUGGAACUGCCUUUGAUACUGGGGAUCUCGAGUCCGGAAGAGGUGAGUGGAACUGCGAGUGUAGAGGUGAAAUUCGUAGAUAUUCGCAAGAACACCAGUGGCGAAGGCGGCUCACUGGCUCGGUACUGACGCUGAGGUGCGAAAGCGUGGGGAGCAAACAGG